rnacentral:rRNA from 1 species
GAGGAAAGAGGGAGGAGGGCAGAAGAAAGGAAAGUAGAGUGAACGGACGAGAAGCUUGCUUCUCUGAUGUUAGCGGCGGACGGGUGAGUAACACGUGGAUAACCUACCUAUAAGACUGGGAUAACUUCGGGAAACCGGAGCUAAUACCGGAUAAUAUUUUGAACCGCAUGGUUCAAAAGUGAAAGGCGGUCUUGCUGUCACUUAUAGAUGGAUCCGCGCUGCAUUAGCUAGUUGGUAAGGUAACGGCUUACCAAGGCAACGAUGCAUAGCCGACCUGAGAGGGUGAUCGGCCACACUGGAACUGAGACACGGUCCAGACUCCUACGGGAGGCAGCAGUAGGGAAUCUUCCGCAAUGGGCGAAAGCCUGACGGAGCAACGCCGCGUGAGUGAUGAAGGUCUUCGGAUCGUAAAACUCUGUUAUUAGGGAAGAACAUAUGUGUAAGUAACUGUGCACAUCUUGACGGUACCUAAUCAGAAAGCCACGGCUAACUACGUA